UGGGGAAUAUUGGACAAUGGGCGAAAGCCUGAUCCAGCCAUGCCGCGUGUGUGAAGAAGGCUUUCGGGUUGUAAAGCACUUUCAGUGGGGAAGAAGGCUUGUCGGCCAAUACCCGGCAAGAGCGACAUCACCCACAGAAGAAGCACCGGCUAACUCCGUGCCAGCAGCCGCGGUAAUACGGAGGGUGCAAGCGUUAAUCGGAAUUACUGGGCGUAAAGCGCGCGUAGGCGGCGUGUCACGCCGGGUGUGAAAGCCCCGGGCUCAACCUGGGAACGGCAUCCGGAACGGGCAGGCUAGAGUGCAGGAGAGGAAGGUAGAAUUCCCGGUGUAGCGGUGAAAUGCGUAGAGAUCGGGAGGAAUACCAGUGGCGAAGGCGGCCUUCUGGACUGACACUGACGCUGAGGUGCGAAAGCGUGGGUAGCAAACAGGAUUAGAUACCCUGGUAGUCCACGCCGUAAACGAUGUCGACUAGCCGUUGGGUCCCUUGAGGACUUAGUGGCGCAGUUAACGCGAUAAGUCGACCGCCUGGGGAGUACGGCCGCAAGGUUA
rnacentral:rRNA from 1 species